rnacentral:rRNA from 1 species
CCUACGGGGGGCUGCAGUGGGGAAUAUUGGACAAUGGGGGCAACCCUGAUCCAGCCAUGCCGCGUGUGUGAAGAAGGCCCUCGGGUUGUAAAGCACUUUCAGUGAGGAAGAACGCCUGGUGGUUAAUACCCAUCAGGAAAGACAUCACUCACAGAAGAAGCACCGGCUAACUCCGUGCCAGCAGCCGCGGUAAUACGGAGGGUGCGAGCGUUAAUCGGAAUUACUGGGCGUAAAGCGCGCGUAGGUGGCUUGAUAAGCCGGUUGUGAAAGCCCCGGGCUCAACCUGGGAACGGCGUCCGGAACUGUCAAGCUAGAGUGUAGGAGAGGAAGGUAGAAUUCCCGGUGUAGCGGUGAAAUGCGUAGAGAUCGGGAGGAAUGCCAGUGGCGAAGGCGGCCUUCUGGACUGACACUGACACUGAGGUGCGAAAGCGUGGGUAGCAAACAGGAUUAGAUUCCCUAGUAGUC